rnacentral:rRNA from 1 species
CGCAUCUGUGCAUGCAGCAUAUCAAUAAGCGGAGGAAAAGUCAACUACCUACGCUUAGGAUGUUGACGAGACUGUCGAUCUCAUCUAUACAUGACUCUGUGCAUAUCAAUAAGCGGAGGAAAAGUAAAUGCUGUAUACCUACGCUUAGGAUGUUGACGAGACUGUCGAUCUCAUCUAUACAUGACUCUGUGCAUAUCAAUAAGCGGAGGAAAAGAAACUAACAAGGAUUCCCCUAGUAACGGCGAGUGAAGCGGGAAGAGCUCAAAUUUGAAAUCUUAAAGGGUUUCCCUUUACGAAUUGUAGUUUAAAGAAGUGUUUUCUGUUGAGGUUUUGGUAAAAGUUCUUUGGAAUAGGACAUCAUAGAGGGUGAGAAUCCCGUAUUUGACCAUUACUUUUCAACUGUGUGAUACACUUUCAAAGAGUCGGAUUGUUUGGGAAUGCAGUCCAAAAUGGGUGGUAAAUUUCAUCUAAAGCUAAAUAUUGGCGAGAGACCGAUAGCGAACAAGUACCGUGAGGGAAAGAUGAAAAGAACUUUGAAAAGAGAGUUAAACAGUACGUGAAAUCGUCAAAAGGGAAGCGUUUGACACCAGUGUUGUUUUUCUGAAAGUCAAUUAAAGAACUGUUUAUGCUAAGUUGUUUAGACUUUAUCAGCUAACUGUUUAGUUUUGAGCUUCUCUUUAAUGCACUUUUCAGUUAACAAGUCAACAUCAAUUUCUUUUGCUGUAAAAAAGCUUGAGGAAGGUGGCUUGAGAUUCGUCUUAAGUGUUUAUAGCCUCUUGCCUAUGCAGUCGGAGAGAUUGAGGUCUGCAGCGUAGAUCCUUCGGGGCUAAAUGCAUUUGUGCUAAGUUAUAGCAUUUUAUAGACAACUUGUUGACUAUGAUUUGUCUUGUAGCUUACUCGCUUAUGUUAUUUUACCUACGCUUAGGAUGUUGACGAGACUGUCGAUCUC